AAUACCCGAUGUUAUAGUCCUACCGCAUGAUGGGAUUAUUAAAGAAUUUCGGUAUGGGAUGGGGAUGCGUUCCAUUAGUUAGUUGGCGGGGUAACGGCCCACCAAGACAACGAUGGAUAGGGGUUCUGAGAGGAAGGUCCCCCACAUUGGAACUGAGACACGGUCCAAACUCCUACGGGAGGCAGCAGUGAGGAAUAUUGGUCAAUGGACGAGAGUCUGAACCAGCCAAGUAGCGUGAAGGAUGACUGCCCUAUGGGUUGUAAACUUCUUUUAUAUGGGAAUAAAACGUUCCACGUGUGUGAUUUUGUAUGUACCAUAUGAAUAAGGAUCGGCUAACUCCGUGCCAGCAGCCGCGGUAAUACGGAGGAUCCGAGCGUUAUCCGGAUUUAUUGGGUUUAAAGGGAGCGUAGGUGGAUUGUUAAGUCAGUUGUGAAAGUUUGCGGCUCAACCGUAAAAUUGCAGUUGAAACUGGCAGUCUUGAGUACAGUAGAGGUGGGCGGAAUUCGUGGUGUAGCGGUGAAAUGCUUAGAUAUCACGAAGAACUCCGAUUGCGAAGGCAGCUCACUGGACUGCAACUGACACUGAGGCUCGAAAGUGUGGGUAUCAAACAGGAUUAGAUACCCUGGUAGUCCACACAGUAAACGAUGAAUACUCGCUGUUUGCGAUAUACAGCAAGCGGCCAAGC
rnacentral:rRNA from 1 species